rnacentral:rRNA from 1 species
UACGUUGGAACGACUGCUAAUACCCGAUGUGCCGAGAGGUGAAAGAUUUAUCGUCUGAAGAAGGGCUCGCGGCUGAUUAGCUAGUUGGUAGGGUAAAGGCUUACCAAGGCAACGAUCAGUAACUGGUCUGAGAGGAUGAGCAGUCACACUGGAACUGAGAAACGGUCCAGACUCCUACGGGAGGCAGCAGUGGGGAAUUUUCCGCAAUGGGCGAAAGCCUGACGGAGCAAUACCGCGUGAGGGAGGAAGGUUCUUGGAUUGUAAACCUCUUUUCUAGGGGAAUAAAAAUGAAGGUACCCUAGGAAUAAGCAUCGGCUAACUCCGUGCCAGCAGCCGCGGUAAUACGGAGGAUGCAAGCGUUAUCCGGAAUUAUUGGGCGUAAAGAGUCCGUAGGUGGAAGUUCAAGUCUGCUGUUAAAGAAUGGAGCUUAACUCCAUAGAGGCGGUGGAAACUGAGCAACUAGAGUGCGGUAGGGGUAACGGGAAUUCCCAGUGUAGCGGUGAAAUGCGUAGAUAUUGGGAAGAACAUCGGUGGCGAAAGCGCGUUACUGGGCCGAAACUGACACUGAGGGACGAAAGCUAGGGUAGCGAAAGGGAUUAGAUAC